UGUUGACAUGAGUAGCGACAAACAGGGUGAGAGACCCUGUCGCCGAAAGUCCAAGGGUUCCUGCUUAAAGCUAAUCUGAGCAGGGUAAGCCGGCCCCUAAGGCGAGGCCGAAAGGCGUAGUCGAUGGGAACCAGGUUAAUAUUCCUGGGCCAGGAGAUGGUGACGGAUCGCAGAGGUAGUUCUUCCUUAUCGGAUUGGAAGGGCUGCUGAGUGGUUCCUUGAAAUAGCCCUCCACAAGACCGUACCCUAAACCGACACAGGUGGACUGGUAGAGAAUACCAAGGCGCUUGAGAGAACCACAUUUAAGGAACUCGGCAAAAUACCUCCGUAAGUUCGCGAGAAGGAGGCCCCGUUUGUACGCAAGUAUGGGCGGGGGGCACAAACCAGGGGGUGGCGACUGUUUACUAAAAACACAGGGCUCUGCGAAGCCGUAAGGCGACGUAUAGGGUCUGACGCCUGCCCGGUGCCGGAAGGUUAAAAGGAGAUGUGCAAGCAUUGAGUUGAAGCCCCGGUAAACGGCGGCCGUAACGAUAACGGUCCUAAGGUAGCGAAAUUCCUUGUCGGGUAAGUUCCGACCUGCACGAAUGGCGUAACGACUUCCCCGCUGUCUCAAAUGUGGACUCAGCGAAAUUGAAUUGUCUGUGAAGAUGCAGACUUCCCGCGGUUAGACGGAAAGACCCCAUGCACCUUUACUAUAGCUUCGCACUGGCAUCAGGAUUGUGAUGUGCAGGAUAGGUGGUAGGCAUUGAUAUCGGGACGCCAGUUCCGGUGGAGCCAUCUUGAGAUACCACCCUUCGCACUCUUGAUGUCUAACCGCGGCCCGUUAUCCGGGUCCGGGACCCUGCGUGGUGGGUAGUUUGACUGGGGCGGUCGCCUCCCAAAAAGUAACGGAGGCGCGCGAAGGUUGGCUCAGAGCGGUCGGAAAUCGCUCGUUGAGUGCAAUGGCAGAAGCCAGCCUGACUGCAAGACUGACAAGUCGAGCAGAGACGAAAGUCGGCCAUAGUGAUCCGGUGGUCCCGAGUGGAAGGGCCAUCGCUCAACGGAUAAAAGGUACGCUGGGGAUAACAGGCUGAUGAUGCCCAAGAGUCCAUAUCGACGGCAUCGUUUGGCACCUCGAUGUCGGCUCAUCUCAUCCUGGGGCUGGAGCAGGUCCCAAGGGUACGGCUGUUCGCCGUUUAAAGAGGUACGUGAGCUGGGUUUAGAACGUCGUGAGACAGUUCGGUCCCUAUCUGCCGUGGGUGUAGGAUACUUGAGAGGAGUUGCCCCUAGUACGAGAGGACCGGGGUGAACGUUCCACUGGUGGACCAGUUGUCGUGCCAACGGCAGUGCUGGGUAGCUAUGAACGGACAGGAUAAACGCUGAAGGCAUCUAAGCGUGAAGCCCCCCUCAAAACAAGGUAUCCCUUGAGAGCCGUGGAAGACCACCACGUCGAUAGGCCGGAGAUGUAAGUGCAGCAAUGCAUUCAGUUGACCGGUACUAAUGGCUCGAAAAG
rnacentral:rRNA from 1 species